rnacentral:lncRNA from 1 species
AAGUUUUUAAAAAGAAGUGUCAAGUACGUAACUGUCAAGGAGACGAAAUGAUUUUAUAUUUGAUUGUCAUUUUUGUUGUUAGCAUACGUGGAUCUAUCCAGCUAGAAUACGACUGUUCUUCUGACGGUUCGAUGAACAUUACAAAUCCGGAUGAAACAAGGUUCAAGUUUUUUGACAUGACAGUCAGCAUGGAUAAUAAUGGUUGCCAUGGAAACUUUUCUGAAGACUAUUCACAUCUUCUUCUGAAAGAUUGCACUAUGGGUGAACGUAUCAAUAUCGUGUUUCUUGGUGACAACUCCGGAAUCUUAAAGAAGGGGAACUCCCUACAGCAUAGUGUGCCAGCAGAUACCUCCGGGAGGAAUAGAAAUUGAGAUAAAUAAAAUACUCUUUGUAAGAGACAAUACCUCCAUACCAACGGAAACGGUCAAUAUUACCGGGUCGCUAAUCAUAACCAAACUGAGAGGUGUGCAAAAACUGGCUAUCCGAACGGCUGACGCAGGUCUCAAGUGGCUUGUGGAUGUCCCAGACGACUUUGCACCUGUACCAACAAGUGGGAGACAUCGGCAAUACUGCUGAACCUAGCAUUGAUUUGAAUGAAAACGGAAUAACUAGUUCAAACAUGGAACAAGAGGUCGCAACCGAUGACGAAAGUCUUGCAGUUAGCUCUACACCAAUAAGACUUUCUACUGAGCGGCUACCCACUACCUUAGUAACAAGUCCCAGUAUUGAAGAUAUCACAGCUGUAUAUGCCGAAACAAGUGUUGUUCAGGUUGGACACCCGAAAGAACAGUAACGGCGACAUAACACCAUCGCAUUACACAUAGAACACGCGCAACAAUGAAUUUAUAAUUUCAAACAUAGUAUAGAAUGGGCAAAGAUGGUGUGGAAAUAAGAUAUAUUCUCCCUACAAACAGAUCCUAGAAUACACCGUAAUUAUACGAAAGUGGUCAUCCAGCAUGAUGCUUUUAAGAUGCAUUAUUAUAUUCAGGAUUAUUAUAUUUAAGAUUUAUAUAUUCAAGAUUUAUAUAUUCAAGAUUUAUAUAUUGAAACUGUUUUAUGUAUAACAUCAGAACUUUAUGUAAACAUAUAUAGCAGUCA